UACGUAGGUGACAAGCGUUGUCCGGAUUUACUGGGCGUAAAGAGCGCGCAGGCGGUCGUUCAAGUCGAGUGUGAAAGCCCCCGGCUCAACUGGGGAGGGUCACUCGAUACUGAUCGACUCGAAGGCAGGAGAGGGAAGUGGAAUUCCCGGUGUAGUGGUGAAAUGCGUAGAUACCGGGAGGAACACCGAUGGCGAAGGCAGGUCUUUGGGCAUUAACUGACGCUGAGGAGCGAAAGCAUGGGGAGCGAACAGG
rnacentral:rRNA from 1 species